UUCGCAAUGCCCGAAAGGGUGACGAAGCGACGCCGCGUGGGUGAAGAAGGCCUUCGGGUUGUAAAGCCCUGUCAGGAGUUAUGAAAUGUAAGUGCGCUAAUAUCGUGCUUAUUUGACAAAGGCUCCAAAGGAAGCCACGGCUAACUCUGUGCCAGCAGCCGCGGUAAUACAGAGGUGGCGAGCGUUGUUCGGAAUUAUUGGGCGUAAAGAGCACGUAGGUGGGUUUGUAAGUCAGAUGUGAAAGCCUUCUGUUCAACGGAAGAAUUGCAUCUGAAACUGCGAAUCUUGAGUAUAGGAGGGGAGAAUGGAACUUCUGGUGGAGCGGUGAAAUGCGUAGAUAUCAGAAGGAACGCCGGCGGCGAAAGCGAUUCUCUGGCCUAUUACUGACACUCAGUGUGCGAAAGCUAGGGGAGCAAACGGGAUUAGAUACCCCGGUAGUCCUAGCCGUAAACGAUGGGCACUAAGUAGAGGGGUUUU
rnacentral:rRNA from 1 species